AUCCUCAGGGCCUGGGCCUGGCCUCCUUGCCUGUGAGAUGGCACUGUGACGGUGCCCACCUCGUGGGGUGUGUGAGGGCCGAGUGAAAUCGUGCAUUUGCGCUAACGAUGAGAACCACUGCUUGAGGGCCUUCCUAUUUCUUCCACCAUGCAUCUGGAAAUGCCCAUGACCUUCAUCGCAGCAGCGUAUGUGCGUUGGUCUUCUCCAGGGAUGCCGAAAGUAGACAUACAGGGAGUCGCAGUACGGAUACCACCAGUGCCAGCCUGACCUCACAAGAGACGUCUUGUGUGACUGGCCCUGCCGUCACAGCUGGGCCAGUAAAGUACCUUCCAGGAGGCUCCAGUUGCUACCUGACUCACAACCUUCUAAUCCCAUGAUCUUUUAGUUCUAGUUUCCUUAUCUUGGUCUGAGCAAAUGGCUCAUUUUAAAGAUGACUUGCAGACAAAUGUAGAGAUCAUCCCAGGGGAAAGUGCCCCAAGAAAGGAGAGUCCAAGACCACCUGCCCCUCCCAGUUCUGCGGCUGGAGUGGGUGGGUGCAGCAACCACAGCCCCAGUGUACAGGAGUCACCACUGUCUCCUCCCGCAUUGGCCCAGCUUGGAAGUGCACAGCAACCAAGCAUGAGGACUGAGUUAAGCUUUUCGGAGAAAAAAGACACUAUGAUCAUCUGGCAGAUCACGAUCACUGUUUGGUGCCAGAGGUAAGGAGUUUGCUUGUUGUGUUUGCUUGGAGGCGACAGUUGGCAAUGACAGCCUGGGAGAAGCACCGGCAGUUAACAGCACUCUGCACCACUCAUGGCUGAGACUGAGGGGAGCCUUUUACAGCAGCUCUGAAAGCAGGAGGUGUUCUCAGACUUGACCCUGAAGUAAACACAUCUCUUUCACCUUUUAAAAAAAAAAAAAAAAAA
rnacentral:lncRNA from 1 species